CGAUUCCCUACGGGGUGCAGCAGGCGCGAAAACUUUACAAUGCGGGAAACCGUGAUAAGGGGACACCGAGUGCCAGCAUCAUAUGCUGGCUGUCCGGGUGUGUAAAAUACACCCGUUAGCAAGGGCCGGGCAAGACCGGUGCCAGCCGCCGCGGUAACACCGGCGGCCCGAGUGGUGAUCGUGAUUAUUGGGUCUAAAGGGUCCGUAGCCGGUUUGGUCAGUCCUCCGGGAAAUCUGAUGGCUCAACCAUUAGGCUUUCGGGGGAUACUGCCAGGCUUGGAACCGGGAGAGGUAAGAGGUACUACAGGGGUAGGAGUGAAAUCUUGUAAUCCCUGUGGGACCACCUGUGGCGAAGGCGUCUUACCAGAACGGGUUCGACGGUGAGGGACGAAAGCUGGGGGCACGAACCGGAUUAGAUACCCGGGUAGUCCCAGCCGUAAACGAUGCUCGCUAGGUGUCAGGCAUGGCGCGACCGUGUCUGGUGCCGCAGGGAAGCCGUGAAGCGAGCCACCUGGGAAGUACGGCCGCAAGGCUGAAACUUAAAGGAAUUGGCGGGGGAGCACAACAACGGGUGGAGCCUGCGGUUUAAUUGGACUCAACGCCGGACAACUCACCGGGGACGACAGCAAAAUGUAGGCCAGGCUGAAGACCUUGCCUGAAUCGCUGAGA
rnacentral:rRNA from 1 species